UUUGAUGGUAUUGAACGCGGAUGGAUCUCGAAGGCCGGAAAAUUGUUUUAGAAAAAAAAAGGAAAACUCACGCCUAACCAAAAUGUCGGCUACGUCGGCGUUAAAACGCAACGCACUGCAUCAACCGGUAGACUCUGUUGUGCCGCUCCAUGUAGUCCCUUAGCGUGAGGAUUGGGCACCCAGGCGACAGAUGCUGAAUAGAUUGCUGUGCCGCACAUGCUUCACUGGUCACAGGCUAAGUCCUUUUCCUGGAUAUACUUAAUAUAAUAUAUAAUAAUAAUAUAUAUAAUAAAUUCCUCUGUUUCAGGUCUCAGAUUCCUCUCGGUAACAUAUAGAGUGGACAACCUCUCGUCAACCUCACCGCCAUGCAAAGCCCCUGCGUAUCUUUCGUGAAAGGUUGCAGAAGUCAGGAGAGUAGUUGCUGUCAGCUACCACUAUCGCUCUGUGCAGACUUAGUGAAGGUCCUCAAUUCGAAAUUCGAGUCCCUAUUCCUGCCGUGUCGUUCACCGAGAACCCGGCAGCAGGAAAGGUUCAAAUCCAGCCGAAAAUCUUCUUCCGAUCCGGCAUAUCUUCUGCAUCAAAAGUUCAUCAAUUACAAAGAGAUUUCCGAUUGUACACGGUCAACGACCCAGCGAACGCCCAUCGAGGACAUGAUCACUGCCGGUCGACGAACUCUUCGCGCGUUGCCAAAUCGCGAAUAAUCUCGCAAGACUAACUCGUCGGCCGUUGUGGAGCGACUCGCCUAGUUUUUUCCGUCGCGGAGAGUCAACCAGCACGAAUAUACAAGAUUUCUAGGACCGUCCGGUUCCCUAAUACCGUACCUUGUCGCCGUUACUAGGACACCCAGUAUAUUCUGAAAAAUUAUUGUUUUCGCUCUUUCAUAUUCAGAUUCA